CUUUCCUAACGAUCACCAUACUAUAGGCUGUGUCAGUUGGUAUUAGAGCCCUUUUAGAUCUAUGAGUGUUAAUUCUUUUCUGCAGUUCAGAUGAUAGGUGGUGGUCAUAAGAAGAACCAACCUACGAAUCAAGCAGCAGCCCAUAAAGAAAUUACGCAACGGGAAUGGGACCUAAUGUUGGAGUGCAAAGAUUUGAGGAGACAAGUGGUGGAUCUGACUGUG
rnacentral:lncRNA from 1 species